CUAUUCUGCUCUGUGUCAGUGUGUAUCAGGGGCUCUGAGGACAGGUGUCAAUCCAUAUCUGCCAAGUGACCCUAUGUAGGAGGAACAGUCCCUAUUCUGCUCUGUGUCAGUGUGUAUCAGGGAACCUUAGGACAGGUGUCAAUCCAUAUCUGCCAAGUGACCCGAUGUAGGAGGAACAGUCCCUAUUCUGAUCUGUGUCAGUGUGUAUCAG